GAGUAUGGCAGAUAUCUAUCGAUGUCUAACUUGCAUUCUAGUUUCACAGCUUUAAACUUCGCAGAAAACAUGUAUGGCAUUGUCUAAUAAUCUAGGCUUUGUUAGAAAUAUAAUCACCAUGAUUGCCAUGCAUUCGUUAUCAAAAGACUUUUAGUUUUUACAGGGACAUAAAGAAAACAAAACGAAUGUGUUUGUAAACAGUAAAAAAAUAUCAAGAAUGAUAUCGUUUUCCCGACAUUAUCAUUUUCAGAUUCAAACGAAAGUGUUGCGGGGACUCACAACUGCCAUCAGAAUGCGCAUUGUAACAAUAUUGAUGGUUCUUUUAAUUGUUCAUGCAAAAUUGGUUACUUGGGAAAUGGAACAAACUGUCAAGAUUUAAAUGAAUGUGUUGCGGGGACUCACAACUGCCAUCAGAAUGCUCAUUGUAACAAUAUUGAUGGUUCUUUUAAUUGUUCAUGCAAAAUUGGAUGCAGGGGAAAUGGAACAGAUUGUCAAGAUAUUGACGUAUGCAUUAAAAAAUCUCAUAAUUGCCAUCAUAACGCCCACUGUAAUAAUACUGAUAGUUCUUUCAAUUGUUCAUGCAAAAAUGGUUUCGGGGGAAAUGGAACAGGCUGUCAAGAUCGCGAUAAAAUGGAAAAUGGCGGAAACGAAUGGCAGGAUUUAUACACCAUUUUAAUCGUGUUGAUAGUCUUUGGAGUUUUUCUUGUGGUUAUUAUAGUGAUUUU